rnacentral:lncRNA from 1 species
AUGAGAAACUUUAUUGACUAUCUUGCAUCCGACCUCACCUGUCACGCAGGAGGAGGACAGAAACAGGGGAAAGAACUCCACAAAAAGAAUAAGAAGGACAAAGGUAUUAUUAAAGCAGGACCUGAGUUACCUAAAUCAUGCAAGGAUAAAAUGAGAAACAUCUCAUGUUGGCAUGGAAGCAUUCCUGACAGAGUUCCAUAAGGAGAGUAAAUUAGACCAUUUCAUCGUCCCUGAAGUGAUACAUAUAACUUCCCUAGGUCUUCUACAUCAAAUCUGGGCCUGGUGAUAUUAAACUAGAAUAUGCAACUACAUCCGGAAAAGUUGUAUAAAUUAUCUCUAAGAGUUCUGUGACUGUCACACAUGGUCUGCAUACAUGGAUCUAAAAGUACAGCAUCUCUUGGAGAUACCUCACAGAAGAAAUACUAUUGCAUUGGAAGUGACAACCAAAACUGUAGCCUUGCCAAGCUCAAAUCUUCAAGGGAUUUAAUUAAAUUUACAAUAAAUAUUGUUAUUGAGGUUUGAAUGUUCUUACACCAAGCAACUAUUGUUACCUUCAGGUCACCUUGAAAAUAGUUCCACAAAGAAAAACUUGAACAAAAUUUAUUUCUCAGAUAAAAAACAAGCAUUAUUUUGUAAAACACUAUGUCACUCCACACAACAGCAAUUAUUGUUAUACUCAAAUUGGUAAAAGGGUUUACCUUAGAUUGCUGACACAGUCCUAUCCACACAGAAUAUCCCCCGAAGAGCAUAUAUAAGCCAAACACACAUCUGAUUUUUAACACAUUCAAUGACUUAUUUCUCCACAAUAACAACUCUGCACAAGACAUUUUUGAUGACAAUGAGAUAACCCCUUGUAAUGCCUCCACCAUGAUAACUGGAUUUUUGCUAAGCUUUCCAUGACCAAAUUACAGCCAUAAUGAUGACACACUGCACACCACUGCCAAACAGCAUAAAAUGACACCUGCUUACAACAGCUUGAAAUGGAACUUGUCAAUAUGACCAGAAACAUUACCAAUAACCAAGAGACUGUUAUUAAAGCUUACUUCUCUUGCAUAGUACCUGCUCAGCUUCACAGCCUUACAGAACCAGAACAUAACUUUAUACCAGCUGAAAUCUCUGAGAUCAAAGAAGAAUUUUUAUCUCAUUGAUAUAACAAUAAUGAAAAGCUAUCCAUAUCACACAAAGGCAUACCACUACAACAAAUCCAAUUAAAUCUCUUUGGACUGGUUUCAACCUCCAUCUAUACUCCAUACUACAGAAAAUCCACACACUCAUGCUGUGCAAAAGCCAUAGGUACAAUAUUUUCAUUACCCAGUUCAGCACUGUGAGGUUAAAAAAUGCCAAUGUCCUAUUCCCUUUUAAAAUCUCUUGUCUCCUACCCCCUACCUGCCAGCUGUAUAAAGUAUUUCCCUUGCCACUAAUUCUGAUAGCAUGCCCUAAUUAACUCAUUUUAUCUUUUGGUAUAAAUCAAUUACAAUUAAAAUAUAGUUUGUCAAGCCUCAGCGGAGUAUUGUUUCAUGUUAAAAACAUUUUCACUCAUGAGAGAAAGUGUGAUUAACUUCAAUAGAAAGCUUAAAGUUCAACUUACUAUGAGCUGAGGGAAUCAAGUACGAUUCUUCCUUCACAGAACACUUCAAGCUUUGUCUCAAGGAAAAUAAAGGAGUGGAGAGCUAUACCCUGGUCACUCAGAUCCCCAGAAUGUGGUAGGACCUGGGAAAAAUAAAAAAUGAAUUUUUUGUUUGCUUGUUUGUUUUGUUUAUUUUCAUUUUUAAAUGUAGUGAGGUGAAACAUCUAAUGCAGACACAAGCUUUUAUG